rnacentral:rRNA from 1 species
UGGGGAAUUUUGGACAAUGGGCGAAAGCCUGAUCCAGCAAUGCCGCGUGUGUGAAGAAGGCCUUCGGGUUGUAAAGCACUUUUGUCCGGAAAGAAAUCCUUGGCUCUAAUACAGUCGGGGGAUGACGGUACCGGAAGAAUAAGCACCGGCUAACUACGUGCCAGCAGCCGCGGUAAUACGUAGGGUGCAAGCGUUAAUCGGAAUUACUGGGCGUAAAGCGUGCGCAGGCGGUUUGCUAAGACCGAUGUGAAAUCCCCGGGCUCAACCUGGGAACUGCAUUGGUGACUGGCAGGCUAGAGUAUGGCAGAGGAGGGUAGAAUUCCACGUGUAGCAGUGAAAUGCGUAGAGAUGUGGAGGAAUACCGAUGGCGAAGGCAGCCCCCUGGGCCAAUACUGACGCUCAUGCACGAAAGCGUGGGGAGCAAACAGGAUUAGAUACCCUGGUAGUCCACGCCCUAAACGAUGUCAACUAGUUGUUGGGGACUUCAUUUCCUUAGUAACGUAGCUAACGCGUGAAGUUGACCGCUGGGGAGUACGGUCGCAAGAUUAAAACUCAAAUGAAUUGACGGGGUCAUA